rnacentral:rRNA from 1 species
UACAGAGGUCUCAAGCGUUGUUCGGAUUCAUUGGGCGUAAAGGGUGUGUAGGUGGCGCCGUAAGUCGGGUGUGAAAUUUCGGAGCUUAACUCCGAAACUGCAUUCGAUACUGCUAUGACUCGAGUCCGGUGGGGGAGUGCGGAAUUCCUGGUGUAGCGGUGAAAUGCGCAGAUAUCAGGAGGAACACCGGUGGCGAAGGCGGCACUCUGGGCCGGUACUGACGCUGAGGAGCGAAAGCGUGGGGAGCGAACAGG